AUCAGCUCCGAUCAUUCCGUCGCCAUCAGAGUCACCGGCCUUGAGGAACACCUUGGUCUCAGCAUCGGUCAGAGCUCUGGCACUGGCAGAGAAGUUCUGCAGGAACAGCCUGGAGAGUAGGACCAGAGAGAAAUACUGAGCAUUGCAAGGAGAGAGCUGGCAUCCAGUCGUCAGGUAAGCUUUGGGGCUCUGACAAUUCACUGUGGUCCAAAGAAAGAUAAUCCUUAUGCUACAAAGGACUCAGAAAAGCUUGAGGUGCAGUCUGAGAGGUGGUGCUUACUUCAGCUCAUCCUCCUCAAUGAAGCCACUCUUGUCCUGGUCAAUGAUGGCAAAGGCCUUCUUGAUGUCCUCGGGGGACUUGGCAGUCAGGCCGACCUUAGCAAAGAAAUCCUUGUACUUGAAAGAGUC